AUUGAACGCUGGCGGAAUGCUUUACACAUGCAAGUCGAACGGCAGCACGGGGGCAACCCUGGUGGCGAGUGGCGAACGGGUGAGUAAUACAUCGGAACGUGCCCGGUCGUGGGGGAUAACGUAGCGAAAGUUACGCUAAUACCGCAUACGAUCUGAGGAUGAAAGCGGGGGACCUUCGGGCCUCGCGCGAUCGGAGCGGCCGAUGUCAGAUUAGGUAGUUGGUGGGGUAAAGGCCUACCAAGCCGACGAUCUGUAGCUGGUCUGAGAGGACGACCAGCCACACUGGGACUGAGACACGGCCCAGACUCCUACGGGAGGAAGCAGUGGGGAAUUUUGGACAAAGGGCGCAAGCCUGAUCCAGCCAUUCCGCGUGCAGGACGAAGGCCUUCGGGUUGUAAACUGCUUUUGUAUGGAACGAAAAGGCUCUGGCUAAUACCUGGGGCUCAUGACGGUACCGUAAGAAUAAGCACCGGCUAACUACGUG
rnacentral:rRNA from 1 species